rnacentral:tRNA from 1 species
GCCUGGUGGCUUAGUUGGUUAAGCGUCUGACUUCAGCUCAGGUCAGGAUCUCACACUUUGUGAGUUUGGGCCCCACAUCAGGCU